AUGAUCGUGUUGAAUGGUGCUAUCUUCAUGGUUGCCUUACGAGGCUUGGUUUUGCUCCGACAUGGAUUGACUCUGUCAUGCGUUGUGUCACUAAUGAUCGUUAUGCUAUCAGGGUUAAUGGUGAAACUGACUGAAGUUGUUGUUCCAUCACGAGGUAUCCGCCAAGGUGACCCAAUCAGCCCCUAUUUGUUUGCACCGAAGGUUUGUCAAGUCUGUUACUACAGAAGGAGAGAUGUGGCGAGCUCCAAGGUAUUCGUAAUGGUCGUUAUGGCCCACCUAUCUCACAUCUUCUCUUUGCCGAUGAUAGUAUCUUCUUUGCAAGAAGUGAUCCACAGAGUGUGGUUGCUCUGGAGGCUACCUUAG
rnacentral:rRNA from 1 species